UACGUAGGUGGCAAGCGUUGUCCGGAAUUAUUGGGCGUAAAGCGCGCGCAGGCGGCCUCUUAAGUCUGAUGUGAAAGCCCCCGGCUCAACCGGGGAGGGCCAUUGGAAACUGGGAGGCUUGAGUAUAGGAGAGAAGAGUGGAAUUCCACGUGUAGCGGUGAAAUGCGUAGAGAUCCGGAGGAACACCAAAGGCGAAGGCAGUGUCCUGGGGAGUACCUGACGCUCAGGUGCGAAAGCCAGGGGAGCGAACGGG
rnacentral:rRNA from 1 species